rnacentral:piRNA from 1 species
UUUUGAAAGUAGAACAAAAAUAU